rnacentral:rRNA from 1 species
GAUGAACGCUAGCGGCAGGCCUAAUACAUGCAAGUCGAACGGUGUCUUCGGACAUAGUGGCGCACGGGUGCGUAACACGUAUGCAACCUACCUUACAUUGGGGGAUAGCCUUUCGAAAGGGAGAUUAAUACCGCAUAAGACAGUAGCUGGGCAUCCAGCAGCUGUUAAAGAUUUAUCGAUGGGGGAGCGCCUGCGUCCUAUCAGUUAGUUGGUGAGGUAAUGGCUCACCAAGACUAUGACGGGUAGCUGGUCUGAGAGGAUGACCAGCCAGAGGGAAACUGAGACACGGUUCCCACUCCUACGGGAGCAGCAGUAAAGAAUCUUCCGCAAUGGACGAAAGUCUGACGGAGCGACGCCGCGUGCAGGAUGAAGGCCUUCGGGUUGUAAACUGCUUUCUG